rnacentral:rRNA from 1 species
GAUGAACGCUGGCGGCGUGCCUAAUACAUGCAAGUCGAGCGAACGGACGAGAAGCUUGCUUCUCUGAUGUUAGCGGCGGACGGGUGAGUAACACGUGGAUAACCUACCUAUAAGACUGGGAUAACUUCGGGAAACCGGAGCUAAUACCGGAUAAUAUUUUGAACCGCAUGGUUCAAAAGUGAAAGACGGUCUUGCUGUCACUUAUAGAUGGAUCCGCGCUGCAUUAGCUAGUUGGUAAGGUAACGGCUUACCAAGGCAACGAUGCAUAGCCGACCUGAGAGGGUGAUCGGCCACACUGGAACUGAGACACGGUCCAGACUCCUACGGGAGGCAGCAGUAGGGAAUCUUCCGCAAUGGGCGAAAGCCUGACGGAGCAACGCCGCGUGAGUGAUGAAGGCCUUCGGAUCGUAAAACUCUGUUAUUAGGGAAGAACAUAUGUGUAAGUAACUGUGCACAUCUUGACGGUACCUAAUCAGAAAGCCACGGCUAACUACGUGCCAGCAGCCGCGGUAAUACGUAGGUGGCAAGCGUUAUCCGGAAUUAUUGGGCGUAAAGCGCGCGUAGGCGGUUUUUUAAGUCUGAUGUGAAAGCCCACGGCUCAACCGUGGAGGGUCAUUGGAAACUGGAAAACUUGAGUGCAGAAGAGGAAAGUGGAAUUCCAUGUGUAGCGGUGAAAUGCGCAGAGAUAUGGAGGAACACCAGUGGCGAAGGCGACUUUCUGGUCUGUAACUGACGCUGAUGUGCGAAAGCGUGGGGAUCAAACAGGAUUAGAUACCCUGGUAGUCCACGCCGUAAACGAUGAGUGCUAAGUGUUAGGGGGUUUCCGCCCCUUAGUGCUGCAGCUAACGCAUUAAGCACUCCGCCUGGGGAGUACGACCGCAAGGUUGAAACUCAAAGGAAUUGACGGGGACCCGCACAAGCGGUGGAGCAUGUGGUUUAAUUCGAAGCAACGCGAAGAACCUUACCAAAUCUUGACAUCCUUUGACAACUCUAGAGAUAGAGCCUUCCCCUUCGGGGGACAAAGUGACAGGUGGUGCAUGGUUGUCGUCAGCUCGUGUCGUGAGAUGUUGGGUUAAGUCCCGCAACGAGCGCAACCCUUAAGCUUAGUUGCCAUCAUUAAGUUGGGCACUCUAAGUUGACUGCCGGUGACAAACCGGAGGAAGGUGGGGAUGACGUCAAAUCAUCAUGCCCCUUAUGAUUUGGGCUACACACGUGCUACAAUGGACAAUACAAAGGGCAGCGAAACCGCGAGGUCAAGCAAAUCCCAUAAAGUUGUUCUCAGUUCGGAUUGUAGUCUGCAACUCGACUACAUGAAGCUGGAAUCGCUAGUAAUCGUAGAUCAGCAUGCUACGGUGAAUACGUUACCCGGGUCU